AUUGAACGCUGGCGGCGUGCCUAACACAUGCAAGUCGAGCGGUAACAGGUGUAGCAAUACAUGCUGACGAGCGGCGAACGGGUGAGUAAUGCUUCGGAAUCUGCCCAUGUAGUGGGGAAUAACCAGCCGAAAGGUUGGCUAAUACCGCAUACGACCUACGGGUGAAAGCAGGGGAUCGCAAGACCUUGCGCUAUUGGAUGAGCCGAAGUCGGAUUAGCUAGUUGGUAGGGUAACGGCCUACCAAGGCGACGAUCCGUAGCUGGUCUGAGAGGACGACCAGCCACACUGGGACUGAGACACGGCCCAGGACUCCUACGGGAGGCAGUCAGUGGGAAUAUUGGACAAUGGGGCAACCCUGAUCCAGCGACGCCGCGUGUGUG
rnacentral:rRNA from 1 species